GCGACAGCUAUCGCUUCAGAGGAAGCGUCUGCGGAGGAGGAAGAAGAGCAGGGCAAGGCGGGAGUCACAGGCGGGACCCUCGCCAUGGGUCCGCGGACCUAGAGCGGCGGAAGCUACCGGCCCGGUGCCGAGCUGGCCGCUGCUCCUUCCUGUGGCCCCCAUGGCUGAGGACUGGCUGGACUGCCCAGCCUUGGGCCCCGGCUGGAAGCGCCGUGAAGUCUUUCGAAAGUCAGGUGCCACCUGUGGACGCUCAGACACCUAUUACCAGAGCCCCACAGGAGACAGGAUCCGAAGCAAAGUUGAGCUGACCCGAUACCUGGGCCCUGCGUGUGACCUCACCCUCUUCGACUUCAAACAAGGCAUUCUGUGCUAUCCAGCCCCCAAGAUCUCUUCCUGCUUUCCCUCUCAUUUGCAGGCCCAGCCCUUAGCUGUCCCUAGCAGGAAGCGGAAGAAGCCUUCACGGACAGCCAAGACUCGAAAACGUCAGGUUGGACCUCAAAAGGGUGAGGUCAGGAAGGAGGCCCCAGGAGAUGAGACCAAGGCUAAUGCUGACACAGCCCCAGCUUCACUCCCUGCACCUGGGUGCUGUGAGAACUGUGGAAUCAGCUUCUCAGGAGAUGGUACCCGAAGGCAGCGGCUCAAGACAUUAUGCAAGGACUGCCGAGCGCAGAGAAUUGCUUUCAACCGGGAACAGAGGAUGUUUAAGCGUGUGGGCUGCGGGGAGUGUGAGGCCUGCCGGGUAACCGAGGACUGCGGGGCCUGCUCCACCUGCCUUCUGCAGCUGCCCCAUGAUGUGGCCUCGGGGCUGUUCUGCAAGUGUGAGCGGAGACGGUGCCUCCGGAUUGUGGAAAGGAGCCGAGGGUGUGGAGUGUGCCGGGGCUGUCAGACCCGAGAGGACUGUGGCCGUUGCCGAGUCUGCCUUCGCCCUCCCCGCCCUGGUCUCAGGCGCCAGUGGAGGUGUGUCCAACGGCGCUGCCUACGGCACCUUGCCCACCGUCUCCGUCGCCACCAUCAGCGAUGUCAACGACGCCCUCCCCUAGCUGUGGCUCCCCCUGCUGGUAAACGUAGCCGCCGUAGAGGAGGCUGCGACUCCAAGAUGGCUGCCCGGCGGCGCCCCCCCCGAACCCAGCCAUUGCCUCCAGUUCCCCUGUCACAGCCUCCAGAGUCCCCAGAGCUGCACCCCAGAGCCCUGGUCCCCUCGCCACCUGCCGAGUUCAUCUAUUACUGUGUAGACGAGGACGAGCUACAGCCUUACACCAAUCGCCGGCAGAACCGCAAGUGUGGGGCCUGUGCAGCCUGCCUACGGCGGAUGGACUGUGGUCGCUGCGACUUCUGCUGUGACAAGCCUAAAUUUGGGGGCAGCAACCAAAAGCGCCAGAAGUGUCGUUGGCGCCAAUGCCUGCAGUUUGCUAUGAAGCGGCUGCUGCCUAGUGUCUGGGCAGGAUCUGAGGAUGGGGCAGGGCCGCCCCCACCUUACUCUCGUCGAAAGAGGCCUGGCUCUACUCGAAGGCCCCGUCUGGGUCAGAUACUGAAGACCUCCUUGACCACACCCACAACCCGACCAGGCCAUGCCCAGACUCAAAUGAAACAAGAAACAGGCAGUGGCUUUGUACUGCCUCCACCUGGCACUGAUCUUGUGUUCUUACGGGAAGGUGCAAGCAGUCCCGUGCAGGUGCCUGGCCCUGCUGCAGCUUCCACAGAAGCCCUGUUGCAGGAGGCCCAGUGCCCUGGCCUGAGUUGGGUUGUGGCCUUACCCCAGGUGAAGCAAGAGAAGGCGGAUGCCCAGGAAGACUGGACACCGGGCACAGCCAUCCUGACUUCUCCUGUAUUGCUGCCUGGCUGCCCCAGCAAGGCAGUGGACCCAGACUUGCCACCUGUGAAGCAAGAGCCACUGGACCCUGAGGAGGACAAGGAGGAAGAGAGCAAGGAUGACUCCGCCUCCGACUCGGCCCCAGAGGAGGAGGCAGGAGGGGCUGGCACACCCGUGAUCACGGAGAUUUUCAGCCUGGGUGGAACCCGCCUCCGGGACACAGCAGUCUGGUUGCCAAGUCUGCAGGGCAGGCAAUCGGGAAGGGAAGAUGGAUGUAAAGUGUGGGAGACGGAGGACGCUUUGGCGCGCAGGAGCACGAGCACGAGCACGAGCUGGAACCGGCGAAGAUGGCCUAGAACCCAUGUCAGUCUCUCACCACCUCCAACUUCGAUAAUGUGGGUGUCCUACAGAAGAAGCUGGUGCCCUUCAUCACAGAGUUAAAUACUCAUCUGACCCAGGAAUUAGAGACGCUGAAGGAAGAUCCCAGGGAAAGUGGAGCAGCUGCAGGCCUGGCUGCAGGCCUGACUGCUGCCCCACACCAACGAGGCUACGUAAACUCUUAGCAGUAAAUGAAAAUGAGUAUUUUACCGAACUGCAAUUGAAAGAAGAAGCAUUAUAGGAGAAAAAAAGACAAAAUGACAAUUAUUAAAAGAGAUUAUUAAAAAGAGAAAAAAAGACAUUAUUUUGUGGCUGAAAAGCUGAACCAGCAAUUCAGGAAAUGGAAUCCAAAUCUAGAAACGUACCGCAUACAAAAUCCGAAGUGGGUGGAUUACAAAUGAUUAAGGAAUGCUAAUUUACAGUAAAUUGCAGCCUUGCGACGGUAUACACAGUAGUUGUACUUUGGUUGUUAGAUGUCAGUGACUAGGUUCUGAUUUUAUUCUGUGCUCUAGUGUUUCGUGCUCGUCCCACUUUAGAAGGAGAGUACCAAAGUGUCAUUCUUAAUCUGCUUUUAGUUACCACCACGUUGCUUUUGACCAGAAGUACAGCUGUGGUCUCCACCUGUGCUGAGGGCCCCUUCUAGGUUCCCUGAUCUGUGUUGCCUGUUCCCCUUCCUGGGAUACAGAUUCUCAGGCCUCAUUGCCUUCACUUCUUAAUCCUGUCCUGACCCUGUUUUACUGGGAUCCUUAACUCAGACUGUUGGCCUUUAUUUUGCCCAGCCAUGUCAUGCCAUGCCCUCCUAGCCCAUCUGAUCUGCCCCCUCUCCCCAUCCUAAGGUACCCCGAGUCAGCUCUGGUUUCUGCCCAGUGCAGUAGGAAGAUUUUAUUAAUAACAGGUUUAUCAUUAUUGGUUUGGGUGGGCUGACAAGACAGGCCGUCUAGGCCUUAAUUGUCUUAGCUGGCAAAUGAGAAUACCUGCUGUUCCCAUCAACCCUCUAAAGUAUUUGUGAGGCCCAAAGGUUUUAUGUGUGAAAGUACCUUGCAAAUUACUGUAAAGAACUACACAAAUAGAAGGUUGUUGUCCUGUGAUGAUUACUACCAUCAUCAAGAUUCACUUAAAAAUGGCCGCAAAAUUUAACCUUCCCAUAAAAUAUCCACUAACUUUUCUCAUGCUUUUAGGCUGAUUACAGGAUAUAAAUAGCAAAGUCAUUUGGAAUGUAAUUAGAUCUUCGCCUUCACUUCGGGUUAAGGAGGCUUAUUUCUGUUAUUCU